ACUACGGGAGGCAGCAGUGGGGGAUAUUGCACAAUGGGGGAAACCCUGACGCAGCGACGCCGCGUGAGUGAAGAAGUCUUUCGGUAUGUAAAGCUCUAUCAGCAGGGAAGAAAAUGACAGUAUCUGACCAAGAAGCGCCGGCUAACUACGUGCAAGCAGCCGCGGUAAUACGAAGGGGGCAAGCGUUAUCCGGAUUUACUGGGUGUAAAGGGAGCGUAGACGGUUAUGUAAGUCUGGAGUGAAAGCCCGGGGCUCAACCCCGGGACUGCAUUGGAAACUGUGUAACUGGAGUACAGGAGGGGCAGGCGGAAUUCCUGGUGUAGCGGUGAAAUGCGUAGAUAUCAGGAGGAACACCGGCGGCGAAGGCGGCCUGCUGGACUGAAACUGACGUUGAGGCGCGAAAGCGUGGGGAGCAAACAGGAUUAGAUACCCCAGUAGUC
rnacentral:rRNA from 1 species